UACGAAGGGGGCUAGCGUUGUUCGGAAUCACUGGGCGUAAAGCGCACGUAGGCGGAUUGUUAAGUCGGGGGUGAAAUCCUGAGGCUCAACCUCGGAACUGCCUUCGAUACUGCGGGUCUCGAGUCCGGGAGAGGUGAGUGGAAUUCCUAGUGUAGAGGUGAAAUUCGUAGAUAUUAGGAAGAACACCAGUGGCGAAGGCGGCUCACUGGCCCGGUACUGACGCUGAGGCGCGAAAGCGUGGGGAGCAAACAGG
rnacentral:rRNA from 1 species